rnacentral:rRNA from 1 species
GUUUCAGCAGCCGCGGUAAUACGUAGGGUGCGAGCGUUAAUCGGAAUUACUGGGCGUAAAGUGUGCGCAGGCGGCGUCGCAAGUCGAGUGUGAAAUCCCCGGGCUUAACUUGGGAAUUGCGCUCGAAACUACGAUGCUGGAGUGUGGCAGAGGAAGGUGGAAUUCCACGUGUAGCGGUGAAAUGCGUAGAGAUGUGGAGGAACACCGAUGGCGAAGGCAGCCUUCUGGGCCAACACUGACGCUCAUGCACGAAAGCGUGGGGAGCAAACAGGAUUAGAUACCCGUGUAGUCC